ACUCCUACGGGAGGCAGCAGUGAGGAAUAUUGGACAAUGGGCGCAAGCCUGAUCCAGCCAUGCCGCGUGAGUGAUGAAGGCCCUAGGGUUGUAAAGCUCUUUCAGUGGUGAAGAUAAUGACGGUAACCACAGAAGAAGCCCGCUGACUUCAUGUGCCAGCAGCCGCGGUAAUACGAAGGGGCGUAGCGUUGUUCGGAAUUACUGGGCGUAAAGCGUGCGCAGGCGGUCUGUUAAGCGAGAUGUGAAAG
rnacentral:rRNA from 1 species